CUUAUCAUAUUUUGUAACUACUCGUAAUACCUUGCUUUGCAUGGGUUACUUGUGAAUGAAAAGAAUUCUGUUUAACUCUAUUAGUUAUAUACUUGAAGUACACUUGGGGAUGUUGUGGGAAGUUGAAAGUGUAAUAUGGGAUCAAUUUGGGCAGGAAAUGGUGGUACUGUUGUCAUAUGUAAACAGAUUUAUAGAAUUCUAUAGACGAGGUCAUUAGGAUUUCAAAUAUCUUUGGAUAUUUUUUAAGUUAGAUUUUACACUUUUAGUUAAUUCUCUUUUUGUUGACUUUUCAUUGUCAAGUCAAUUUUAGUAUAUUUAUUUUAAAUUUACUAGCUUGUUAAAAGAAAACGAUACAUCAACAGAAAACACAUCUCAUAUUAAUACAACACGUGUAAUGGGUUUAUAUCCGAGCAUAUAGGUUUCUUUACGCUAAUCACAUGUGGUUGGGUGUGUGGCUUUUCUUAAAUGUGGAUAUGGGUGCGGAUAUUCUAGUAUUCACCAUAGACUCUACUCCUUGCAAUCCAUAAAAAUUAGUUACACUUAACAGAGUUCAGUCAUAUAUCUAAUUUUUUGUUUCUUGAAAUCAAUAUUGAUGAUCAGCUAAGCUUGCACUUUUUUAUGACAGAUAUACUUUUGUUUGCGAUCUGGUUAUUAUGAUGAAGCAAGAAACGUUUCCCUAUCUUCACGUGCUUCGCAUCAAUUUGCUCCAUUGGUACGUAGCAUAAUCACUUCUGUUUUGUACUAAUUUAUGGUGUAGUUUUAAUAAGUGACUGUUUUUGACAGCUCACAGAGUGGAUUAAUACUGGGGGAAUGGUACCGGAAGAGGUUGCAACUGCUGCAUCAGAAGAAUGUGAAAGAAUGUUGAGAACUGGUGAUCGGGUAGGCCGAACUGCGUAUGACAAGAAAAAGUUACUUCUGUAUGCCAUCAUAUCAGGUUCUAGAAGACAUAUUGAUCGUCUGCUUAGAGAUCAACCAACUCUUUUUAGUACAAUAGAGGAUUUCUUGUGGUUCAAAUUGUCAGCUGUGCGGGACUGCCCCACUGGAUCUUCGUCCAUUGUUCUAAGUGAUGGUCUGAUUCCAUACAGUUUGGAUGAUUUGCAAAGUUACCUGAAUAAAUUUGAACCAUCAUACUAUACAAAAAAUGGAAAAGAUCCUCUGGUAUAUCCAUAUGUCUUGCUUUUAAGCAUUCAAUUGCUUCCGGCUGUAUUAUACUUGUCUAAGGAAACAGGAGAUGAAGGAUAUAACAUUGAUGCUGCACACCUAUCAAUUCUACUAGCUGAUCAUGGGGUCCUUUCUGAAGGUGCUGGUACUGGGCAAAAGUUGGGAGUGAUGGAUGCUUAUGCCGAAGUGUCCACCAUUAUCAGGCAAUAUGGAUCUAUGUAUUUGCGUCUUGGUGAUCUCCAGAUGGCAUUAGAAUAUUAUGCACAAGCUGCUGCUGCAAUUGGUGGUGGGCAGUUGUCGUGGACUGGCAGAGGUAAUGUUGAUCAGCAAAGGCAGAGAAACUUGAUGCUGAAGCAGCUUCUAACUGAAUUAUUGUUAAGGGAUGGAGGCAUAUAUCUUUUACUUGGUGCAAGAGGUGCUGGAGAAGAAGGGGAACUGGGACGGUUUGUGGCUGAUCCAAAUGCAAGGCAACAGUUUUUGAUUGAAGCAGCAUGCCAGUGUCAGGAGGCUGGGAUGUAUGACAAAGUAAUUUCUUUCUUAUGUUAGUCUUUUAUUUUAGGGGAACAAUAGGGAAAGNNNNNNNNNNNNNNNNNNNNNNNNNNNNNNNNNNNNNNNNNNNNNNNNNNNNNNNNNNNNNNNNNNNNNNNNNNNNNNNNNNNNNNNNNNNNNNNNNNNNNNNNNNNNNNNNNNNNNNNNNNNNNNNNNNNNNNNNNNNNNNNNNNNNNNNNNNNNNNNNNNNNNNNNNNNNNNNNNNNNNNNNNNNNNNNNNNNNGGGAAAGAUAGAAAACUUUCAACUGUUUUUACCAAAACGUUACCUGGAUCACAAGCAUUGCCCUUCACACCCGAAAGAGGUUCUUGAGGCACUUAGAUAUGGGAAUUACUUCACUCAGAUUUUUAGACCUCUUUGUUUUGGCCUCUCAGACUUCCUUUUUCUGGUGAAGCUAAAUAUAUUUUUGACACAUAUAGGAAAUUUGUUCACUCUUACUUAUUUUCGAUGUCUAAUACUAUGAUUACAUUUUAUUAUUUUCACAUUUGUGUUUCUCGUGUAGAUUUUUCUUACGUAUAAAGUUAUGUUUACUUAUUUUCUCCUAUUUUAUGUUAGCUCCAUGUCCACCUUAUUACCAAUCACCAUUUGUGAGCCACUGUAUUUUCAUCCAACCUUGACGUUGCUUUUGCUGAUGCAAGAUUUUUUGGUUCAGUCUAUAGAAAUUCAGAAGAGAGUGGGGUCCUUCUCAAUGGCUCUGGAUACCAUCAAUAAGUGCCUCUCUGAAGCUAUCUGUUCCCUUUUCCGUGGAAGGUUAGACGGCGAGAGCCGGACUGCGGGCCUCAUCCAUUCUGGCAAUGAGAUUUUGGAGACAUAUACUUACUACCCUGAUGUCAGGUCAUAUUGAAAACCUUACCUUUUAUUUCCUUGCUCAUGCAUUUAUAUGCUUGGACUUUGCCAUAAUGGUGAUAUUCUUCAACUCUGCUUAAUAUUCUCAUAAAUGAAGCCUUUCAGGUUUAGAACUUAUUCUGUAGUGAUUUGACCCAGAAUAUGAUUUGAUUUGUAUAUUGAUGUUUUCCCUUAUCUUUACCAUGGAAUGAUCUUGGAGAUCAAACUCUGCUUGUGGGUACCAUGGAAGUUCAUUUUCGUCAUAUAUUUACUUCAUGUGGCCAAUGGCGUAAUUUACUUGCGAAAACAGGUGUCACAAGGAUGACUGGCAUGUGAUAUGAGAUAUACCCUUCAAAGUGAAUAACUGUGGGAAUUGCUUUCAACAAUGAAAAUUUAUUGUUUAUCAAUCUAUUAGGCAUAACCCUUACGAAAAAAUAAUCGAUGUAAUUCUUUUUUCAGUCUUCAGGAGAGAGAGCAUGUUUUUGAGCAGCAAACUGUAUUAAGACAACUUGAGUCAAUAUUAUCAAUUCACAAAUUGUCAAGACUAGGCAAUCAUGUUGAUGCAUUAAGGGAGGUUGCUAAACUUCCAUUUCUCCCUCUAGAUCCCCGAGGACCUGAUAUUGUUGUUGAUGUGUUUGAAAAUUUAUCUCCUCAUGUCCAAGCUUGUAUACCAGACCUCUUGAAGGUUGCUCUGACUUGUCUGGAUAAUGUGACAGAUUCUGAUGGAUCACUUCGUGCUUUGAGGGCUAAGGUAAUAUGCUGUGGAUCCCUUUGUUUGGUUAGUCUAUAUCCACGCUUUAGUUGCUUUUGUUGAAGUACCUAUAAUUUAUUAUAAUUGUUCUCAACAAGUGUUUAUUGAACUAAUUAGCGUAUGGCUUUCUGGUAUGGAAAGCUUUUUAGUCAAUCUGAGAAUAUGACCUCUAUCUUGAAGAUUUUCAUUGGGGUUUGAAUUUGAAUUAAAAUGUCUAUACAAAUCUAUGUUCAUGAUUUCAUGUGAUAACUACAUUUAAUACCUGCCUUAUGCCCUAAAUCCAAUAUAUUCAUUUAUCCACUUCUUGAUGGUUGCUCAAGACCUACAAUUUUAAGGAGUUUUUCCCUGUCAGUGUGAAGCCUUUUGAAUAUCAUCUUUCGUGGUUUUAAAAUAGUACUUUUGCUGAUUAAUAAGUAUCAAUAUGUGCUCUUUGCUUUUCAAUGGCUAAAUUUUGCCUGUUUUGCAGAUCGCCAAUUUUAUUGCAAAUAACGUAAAGAGAAAUUGGCCUCGGGAUUUGUAUGAAAGAGUUGCGCAGAGGUUGUGAAAAAUGUACGAUGGGAAUUGUUUGUUGCCUUUGAAACUUUAAAGGCAACAGUAUGUUUUUUGAAUGAAGGUCCCCAGUAAUGUAAAACUUGUAAAGUAGUGGCAAUGUCAAUGAUAUUUAUGGUGGACCUAUGUCCUGGAGAUAUAAUCGGAGAAACUACAAAUGUGAAAUAAAACUGGUUAUGAUUUUUCUCUUCAUCUUUUCAUAUGAUUUAGCUAAAUGGUUAUGUAAUAGGGUGUUUACAGGUUUGGUUAACAAGAAUAUUACUUUAAACUGCUCCCGUCCAUUCAAUACAUGCUAGAAGAUGCAAAAACUAAUAAGCAAUGAUAUUGGAAUACAAAAUUUGACAUAUAAUAGAACACAAACAAAUACCCUAUCAAAUAUAGUGUGGUUCACGUUUUUGUUUUUAAUAAAAUGUGAGUAUUUUAUUUGUAGCAAAUUUUAUGUUCCAAUAACAUUACAUAAUUCUUUUUCACUUCUUUUGCACAUUAUAUUGGUUGGAGUAAUCAUUUUUCCUGUCUUUAAAUCUUGGACUAGAAAUGGUAUUUUGAUUUCUUAGUUUCUUAUGUACAUGAAACACAUAGGCUGAAAUACAUUUUUUGUCCUUUAUAAUUUAUCUAAACUUAAACUUUGUCAAUUAUUUUUUUUAGCGUUAAUUAAUCCUUUAUCUUUGGUAAAUGGCUAACAUUAGUCCUUUUUCCAAAUAACCCUGACAUAAAUUAUCGUAAGUUGCAAAUAAAGUAUUCAACCCUGUUUCGCAUAGAGAAUAAAUAAUUUCUGAUACCAUUAUCUUUAUAAUUGAUAUUUUAAGAAGAAAAAUGUAUGUUUAUCUACUACUAAACACGAUCUAUACAUUGAAUUUGAGAAGUUUCUCCAAAUAGAACUAGAGAAUUUUCAAAAACUCUAGUCAUAUAUUUCGGUUUAAGAAAUUCCAAAAGUCAUAAUUAACAUUAGAUAACAGAAGGAUUAACAUUAAUCACUUAAAAAAAAAUUAAAUUGACUUAAAAAAGAUAACACACCAGAUUGAAAUUUAGAUAAAAGAUAAACCACUUACAAUGUAUUAUAUCCAAAUACUUAUUAGAAGCAACUAAUUUUUUCUUUUAAAAAAAAGAAGCAACUUUAUUUCGAGCCUAGACUCCAUAACCGACAACAUACAAUAAGCUUUGUAUGUAAUAAUAGUAUUUUGAAAAUGUAAUUAAACACUAAGCUUUGUAAAUACAAAAGUCGUGGCCAUAGCCAAAACCAUCAUUAGGAAUGUAAGCGUUGUAGUAAAAUGUGAUAGGAGGGUUCCUAUAGUCAUCUGCAAUGACACUCUCAGGUAUCCAACUAUCUGUUCCAUUCCUAUAUAGAAACAAUUUGCAUAUUUGGUCGAUACAAGGUCCCGCUAUCCAAAAUAUAGUUGUCAUGCACUGUUCGAACCUCCUAGAUUCAGGAUCACCCAGUUCCCAAACAACAAGCUGCAAUUAAAUUAAAUUAAAUUAAAUAUAUAUACAACCAAAAUUUUACUUUUAUUUAUAAACAAUACAUUAACAAUAGUACUUGAUUAAUUCUAGUCAUAGAAAAUUAAAUAUUGGGAUUGAGUACAUAGUUAAAAUGUAUAGUUAGGUAUAUUAUAUGGUUAAUUUAAUGUUUCGUAAUAGAGAAUGGAAUUACCGAAAAGCCAUUAGCGUCUCCAAAUGAAAUACCGACGAUGUCUCUUGUAUGUAUUGGAGAAAGGCAGCUUGUCUUUAUGGUGAUCAUGUAUUUGCAUGUUCCAUACGGUACAUUCACAUUCUGAAACAUGCAUAUUCAAAUCAUAUAUAUAGCUUUUUAUUAAAGAUGCAAUAAAUUAUGAAAUUUAUUUAUUAAAAAAAAAUUAGAUGAUUGGUUCUAGAGACUCAUCAAAGUCAUACCAGAUCAAAAGAUAAAAAAACAUUGACAAAUGUAUUUAUAAAUCACUCACCAAAAAACUCCCUUACAUUAACCGCGAAUAUUAAAGAUCAACUUGCUUAUCGAGUUGAAACAACAUUCGCAUAGUAUCAAAUUAAUAUUACUGCAUAUAAAACUUUCAUACGUAUGCUAUGUAACUACACUUCCAAAGGGGCACUAAUGAAAAAGCUACUACUAAACAACUUAAUUGAAUGAUAUACAUGAAAAAUUAUAAGUUGUUUUUAUAAAACAAAAUUUAUUUUAGACAAAAAUAAUAAAUACUACUUUAAUUAAUUUACACUAUUGUAAAAUUUUAAAUUUAAAUUCGAAUCGAUUCAACAUAACAAUAUUUUAUUAUUUGAACUAAGCCUUAAAAAUAUUUAUUUUCAUAAUGAGGAGUUUAUAAAAACAAAUUAUAGACAAGUUAUCAAUUUUUUCUUACGCUCUCCCAAAUAAUAUAUCACUUGUGCUUAUGCUAGAAAACAAUUUCAAAUAAUACAAACUCAUACCUAAAUUAAAAACUUAUGACAUAAACAUUUAUUAUUUAAGUGUUUAUAUAUAACUAAUUUAUGCUACAAAAUAUAAAGUAGAGAGUUUAAUAAUUUCAAAUUAGUCAAUAGAUACAAACUCAAACCUAAAUUAAAAACCUAUAACGUAAACAUAUUUAAGUGUUUAUAUAUAACUAAUUUAUGCUACAAAAUAUAAAGUAGAGAGUUUGCAGGUUUAAUUUUACCUAUUACAAACCUAACAACUUUUUUUUUGAAUGGAAGAUAACUAACUACUAAUUACUGACUUUUGUGUUUAAACAAACAAUAAUUCGAUCUAAACCACCAAUGUUGAGGCCGAGUGAAUUAAAUGUGUAUAUUCCGUUUUUGGCUUAAUCUUUAAAAGAAAAUAAAAAUAGUGGAGAGUAUAUAUAAAAUUUAAUUACUUGUGGUUGGACAUCAUAAAGCGUAGAAUAUUGGUUCGUUUGAUGUUUAAAACGAGUGAGUAAUGUUGGUGUUGUUUGUGAGAAAACAACAAUUAUGGAGAAUAUGAGGAUUAAGAUAAGAGUUUUCAUGAUUUUGUUAAUCUCUUUGUAUUGCAUCAAAUAGAAGAGAAGGAAGAACACUUAAUUGAUUUUAGAUAUUAUUGAGAUUAUAUUAUAGCAUUACAAAAGGCAGAGGCGAUAUUUAAAGACAUCAUGAAAUGCUAAACAAACACUAUGUUAUUUUUUUAAUAUUGUGUAAACUAUUUAAUUAGUGAAUGACUUUGUAGGGCACUCUCAAAUUUGUAGAGCACUCUCAAAUAGAUUUAUGAGAUUAUUAAUAUUUUGAAACAUCUAUGACUCUAAAAAAUUAUGCAUAUUAGUCUUUUUAAUAAUACAUAGUUAAAUAUAGAGACCAAAUUACAAAUUUGAUACUAAUGUUAUAGACUAAAUUGAUAGUAAAUUGUUAACGUAGAGCCUUAAUUAUUUGUAAGCAUUUAAAUGUAUUGACCAACUUGAUAGUCUAGUUGUACACGUUUUUACAUAAAUACUUGUAUGAGUAAUAUUUGACAAAAUUACAAAUAUUUUUAAAAUAUCUAUAAUCUCAUAGAUCUAUUUAAGAACAUCAUAAAAAGUGAGAGAUAAAUUUAAUAAUUUACCUACUUAAUAUUUUAUUACUCUCUUGAUACUAUGUUGAGUAAUUCAUUUUUAUUUUUAAAAGUCCAAAAAUAAAUUACUUUUUUCAAUUCAAUACUUAUUAUUAUUUUUUCUAGUUAAUAUUUUUCACUUUACAUUUAUACUAAUGAUAUAUCAAUAUUUAAUAAAAAAUAAUUCUACUUCUAUAAUAACACUAUUGUCGUCAUGAAUAUUAUUUUGAACAUUAUUCAAAUAUUUGUUUAAGAUGAAUCACUUUAACCUUAUACUUUCUUGUUGGAAAUGAUGAUGAUAUUAAUAAGAGAUUGUUGAAAAUGAUGAUGACAUUAAUGAGAACUAGUUGAUGUGAAUAAAAAAAAAAUAAAGAAGUCUCACAUAGGAAGGAUGACCCCAAGGUGUACACCAAUUUUGUAAAGAGCCGAUAAAACACGCAAAUAGUCCACCACACGAUAUAUUAUUUUUAGUAUAAAAAAAAUGUAACAAAAUUAUUUUUUAAUAAAUGUGUGCGUUUUUCACUCAUUUAUAUAUUUAACACGUGUAUACCCUCCAUCGAGUCAACAUUAUAUCUGAUCCAGUCAAAUAGAGGACUCUCCUCAGCCAGAAAAGCGCAUCAAAAGUUUUCCAAAAUCUAGACUUUUAUAUGCUUCUUCUUUUCUUUCUUGCUUUCUUUCUUCUUUUUUUAUUUCUUUCGAGUGAUCAUAGUACCAUAUUACGGGUAACAACCAUUGACUGUCAUAUUGAGAGCGUAAUUCUAAAACAAUUUUUUACCGUGCAGUGAAACUCCGAUACAUUGUACUUGAUCUAUUUUAUCAUGAGGAUUUCGUGGUUGAUAGUCUGCAAUAUCUUGCACAAUUUAAACAUUACUGUCAAACGGUUUAAAAAGAGCGACAUAACCCACGACUCAACAAAAUAACAUCUUCACUAACAUAAAUUGAUUUUGAAAUAGUUUUUGAAAUUAAAAAAUAGCACGCGCGCGCGCGCGCACACACACACACAUAUAUAUAUAUAUAUAUAUAUAUAUAUAUAUAUAAAAAGGAAUAAUUUAAUAAAUUAUUUUAGAAUACAAAAUAUUAAAUAAAAAAUCCGCAGAUAAAUACUCAAAUUUCUUAUCACAACCCCGUAAAGGUAUCUAUGAUGAAACUAAUAUACCUUUAAUUAUUUUCUAUUUUUAUUUAUGUUAAUAGUGCUAUGCGCAUUAUAUAUAUAUAUAUAUAUAUAUAUAUAUAAUGCAACACAAUAAAUCUGUUCAAUUUUUUGAAUGUCUUAGAUGAUUUCUCCAAUAGUUUAAUCUACUAAAUUUUUAAUUUAAUUAUGAAUAUUUUAACCAAAUUAUAUAAUAUACGAGUGAGAAUUAGAAUUGACUCAUUGCUCAACCGUUCAAUUUCCUGUUUCAGGUUGAUUUUAAUAUAUAUUAAUAUUAUUUUAAAUAUGUCUUUACACAUGUCAUGAAAAAUGAUUUUUUUUAAGGAAAAGAGUAGUUAAUAGAAGAAAAAAACAAAUUGUACUUAUUUGUAAACCUUUAUGGAUCCACGAAAGAACAAAAGGGUGUUUGUGGAAUGUAAUAAUUCACUAAUUCUUUUUGCUUUUCUAAAAGAUAAUCUACUAAUUGUUUUUUUCGACCUUUUCACUGUAAUUUUGUUUAUGUAAUGUACUACUGUGUACCUAUUUUGAUGCUUUUAUUUUUUUUAAUCAAUUUUUCACAUUUUUAUUUUAAAAUUAGAUAGUUUUUGUCUUUAUUCUAGAUAUUUGAACUAUAAAAUAAUUAUGACAUAUUUUAAAUGGUGUGACACACAAUCACGUGAUAUAAAAUCAUUUAAAUGCAUUAAUUAUUCACAUGUUAUUAAUUAAAUUAUGUUUAAUUGCAAUUUUAGUUUUUAUGUUAUUACCAAUUCACUGAAUUUAGCCAUUUAUUUUAAAAGUCGACAAUUUUAGUAUCACCCUCAAAUUUUUGAACUAAAAAAAUGAUGAGUUGACAUAUUUGUAAUGAUGUGACAUACAAUUAUAUGAUAUAAAAUCAUCCACAUGCAUUAAUUAUACAUAUGUCAUUAAUUAAAUUAAAAAUAUGAAAAAAUUUCGAAUUUGAAAUCUAAGUUUUUACGGUGCUUUAUUUCAAUUUCAUAGGUGUUAAUCAUUCUAUAUUAUUGUAUUAUUGUAUCAUAUGUCAUGUUAUUUAAAACAUUACACAUCAUGAUUUUUUAGUUAAAAAAUCAGAGAGAGACAAAAAUUGUUGAUUUUUAAAAUCGAAUGAUCAAUUUCAUAAAUCAGUAAAAUAGGGGGACUAAAACUGCGAUUAAGCCAUUAAAAAUAAAAUGAAUAGCUUAAGAAGUUGAAAUUGAAAUUUUUAGAGGAUUAUAUUGUAAUUUCAUAGAUGUUAGUCGUUUCACAUCAAUGUAUUAUGUGUCAUGUUAUUUAAAAUAUAUCAAAUUACAAUUUUUUAGUUAAAAAAUUAGAAGGACCAAAACUAUUAGAUUUUAAAAUAGAAAUACCAACUUUGUAUAUUGGUGAAAAUAAAAAGACUAAAACAAUAAUUAAACCUAAAUGUUAUUGAUAAUUACUAUGAAAAAUGGUGAAAUAUUUUGCUUUCUACAAAUUAAUGAGUGAAUAUAAUCAUCUUAAAUUUGUGAUUUUUUAUAGUAAGUAUUGAAAAUUUCAACUUAAAUGAUCCCAUGUAGUGUAUAAUUUUGUAUAAGUUACUUUCUUUGUCUCUUAACGAGGGUCAUUUAAAAUCUUUACAUACAUUUUAAUAAAUACAAUAAUUUAAAGAAAGAGAUAAUUUAUUUUUACCAAACUACCCAUCUUAACAAUUAAUAGGUAUUUCACUAUUAUCAAUGUAAAGUAUAAUAAUAUUUUAAAAGUUGUGUGUAUAGUAAUAAUUGAAGGGUAAUUUAGAAGAAAAAAAUUAAAAUUGCAUUGAAAAUUAUAAAUGACAUUGAUUUUAAAAUAAUAUUAUAUGAUAUAUAUAUAUAUAUAUAUAUAUAUAUAUAUAUAUAUAUAUAUAUAUAUAUAUAUAUGUAUUUGAGCCUUUUUUAUGUGGGCCAAUUGUACUAUUUUAUUUUUUUUAAACUGGGUUGUGGGUUGCCCGGUACCUAUACGGACUAACCAAAAUGAAUAACAAGUUUAUUCGUAUCGGGUGAAAAAGCCUUGAAAAGAUUCGGACUGAAAUUAUUAAACAAAAACUCUGUGUUUUAGCAGGCUGACCUAUUGAGACUAACUCAUUUUAAUAGCUCGAAGAACCAAACGUUAUGUGUGGAAUAUAAUAAUUCAUUAAUUCUUUUGCUUUGAUGAAAGAUCAUCGAUCAAUUGUUGAUUUGGCUCUUUCAUCGUAACUCUUUUUUUUAAUCUAUUGAGUUAUCUUAAAUUCAUUAAAUAAUACAAAUGUUAAUAAAUGCUGCCAACAUUUUUUUCUAUUUUAUUGUUUGUUUUGCAACUUGCAAAUAUUUUUUCCAUAAUUAUGAGUCUAAGUUUGAAUUUAACACGAUUAGCUCUAACCAAUUUUUUUUACCGUAACUAACUACAUGUAAAAGUUGUACUUGUAGUUGAUUUUAGUGGCCACUUACCAAGAGUUAUGUCCAUUAAAGUCUCAUUCUUUCACUAAAUACCUUAAAUACAAAGAGGAAGUAAGAAAAAGAAUAUUGAAAGGUUUAUGCCUCAUUUUAUCCGAAUAUUUUGUAUUGAAUGAAAAUCUGAUAAUAAUAACGAAGAAAGACAUUGACUGUCUUAUUGUUAGAAGAGAAGGCUCAAAUUGGGAUUUUAUUAGCAAGCUUGGAUUGUUCCAUUUAUUCCAAUUUCAGGCUUUUAGGGGAAUGUUAGAAGACAAAGGGUGAAACUUGUUAUCCAAGUUUGCAAGCUUAUUAGCCUUGACAGACCGAUAGUUUAUGAAGUUGGCUGAAGACUCAUAAGCAGACUGGCUAGGAGCUGGCUGAUAGGCUUAUGUGCACGAUGGCUGACAGAUUGGUUGAGAGCUGGCUAAAGACUUAUAGGCACAACAACCAAAAACUGAAUCACUAGAUCUUGUUCCAAUUAGCUUGUUUUCAACUAAAUCCUUCUAUAUUUGUAUUUUCUGUUCUAAGUUUGUAACUUCUUGUUAAUUAGUUUGUUAGGAAAUUGAACUAGUUUUUUGCUUGCUGGUCAAGCUAACAAUGUUGUAUAUAAAAUGGGUGUUAGCUCCCUUUCUCAAUCAAUUGAUUAUUUUUUUCAAUCAGUUCAUACAUUCUAAGAGUUUAUAUAUAGAGUAAAACUAGAAACAUACCACUCCAAACAUUCAACUUGAUAAUUCAUCUUUUAUCAUUAACUAUUUCUUAAUUUUUUACUUAAUAUGUAGAACACAAAACACUUAUAAGACAAAACCUUAAUUCAAGACUAGCCUCCAUACAUAUUAUGUUGCUUCUAUUUUCUAUGAAAUAGAAUAAGCUUAUCUUAGUUAAAAAAACAAAGAAAGAGUUGUAAUAAUAGUAUUUGGAGACUAGUCUUCAUAGCAAAAGUUUAGGCCAUAGCCAGCACCAUCAUCUGGAAAAAAAGUGGAGAAGUAAAUAGAGAUAGGAGUGUUCUUAUAGUCAUCUACGGUGACAUACUCCGGCAUCCAACCAUCUGAUCCACUCCUAAUUACGUACAAUCUGCACAGUUUGUUGAGACAACUUCCUAGUAACUUAAAUUUAGUUGUUGUGCACCGCUCGAACCUCUUAGAAUUACUAUUCAUUUUUGGAGUACGAAUCUGCAAUAAAAUAAAAUUAAAUAUAUGUAUUUAUAUAGUUCAACUAAAUUUUAUUUGUACUUCUAUAAACAAUACAUUAGUACUUGAUUAAUUCUAGUGAAAGAAAAUUAAAUAUUGUGAUUGAAUAUAUCAUAAAAAAUGUUACUUUUACCGGAAAAAAAUUGAAAAUAAUAAAUAAUGUGAUUUCUUUUCCAAAUCAAGAAACAAAGUCACAAAAUUUUAUAAUUGAGUUAAUAUUAUUUGUGCAACAAAUUAAAAUUUGAAGAGUAAUUGAGAAGCAUGUAUAGUUAGUUAUAUUAUAUGGUUAAUUAUUCUAGUAGAGAAAAGCAUUACCGGCACAAAGUGUUUAAAGUCUCCAAAUAAAACAGUGAUUUUGUCAUUUGUACGACGUGGAGAAUGACAGCUUGUCUUUAUGGUAACCAUAUAGUUGCAAUUCCGUUCAGCCACAUUCUAAAACAUUCAUAUAUAGACAAAUCUUAUAUAUAGUCUCUUAUUUAAUAUGUAAUAAAACAUGAAAUUAAUUUGAGUACAUAAAAUUUUCAUGUAUAAACUGUGUAGUGACUAUACUUUAAAAGGGCAUUGAUGAAAAUGGACCACCAUUUCGAACCUUAAAUUUUUGGCGGCAAAAAAUAAAAGAUACUAAUGAAAAGUUUACAUUAAACAAUUUAAUUAAACAAUAUAAAUACUUAUCAUAUAAGUGAUGUAUAUAAGUUAUUUUAUUAAAAAUAUAAAAUAAAGUUAAACUAAUUUAUAGAUGUCUCAUAACUUAUUUUCUUAUACUCUUCCAAAUAAUCUCACUCGCUUGUCCUAUUUUAUAAUCUCAAAUAAAUCAAUACAAACAAAUUUAUAACAUAUAUAAACAUUUGUCAUUUAAAUAUUUAUAUAUAUACAAUUUAUAUAAUAAAAGAUAAAAAUUAAGUCAAACUAUUUUUAAAUAAACUAUUUAGCAUAAUUUAUGGAAAUGCCAAAAUAUGUAGUAUAAUUUAUUGAGAGCUUAUAAAAAUAAUAAAAUAAAAAUAGCUUAUGGAAAUGCCAAAAUUGUUUUCAGAAGUUCUGCAAAAUAUUCUCAUAAGAUGUUAUUCUCCUACCAACAAAACUAACAACUACUCUCCAAAGUUGAGGCUGAGUGAAUUAAAAGGGUAUUUUUGUAUUAGGGUUAAUAUUUCAAAAAAUAUAAUAAAUAAAGUGGAGAGUAUAUAUAAAAUUUAAUUACUUGUGGCUGGACAUCGUCAAGGGCAGAAGAUUGGUUCAUUUGAGGUUUAAACCGAGUUAGCAAUGUUGGUGUUGCAUGCGAUAAAAUAACAAUUAUGGAGAAUGUGAGGAUUAAGGUAAAAGCUUUCAUGAUUUUGCUAACCUCUUUUCUUUUUUGCAUCAAGGAGAAGAGAAGGAAGAACUAAUUGAUUUUAGAUAUUGUUGAGUUAUAUUAUUGCAUUACAAGGGCCAGAUGCAAUAUUUAAAGACAUCAUAAAAUGCUAACCAAACACUAUGUUUUUAAUUCUUUUAAUAUUGUGUAAACCACCCAAUUAGUACAUAAUCUUGUAGAGCGCUCUAAUAUUUUUAUUAUCAAUAUUUCAAAAUAUCUAUGACUCGUUCAUACAUUAGUUAUAUUAUUCGUUAUGAUAAUAUAUGGUUUAAUAUAGGGACCAAAUUGUAUAUUCAAUACUAAUGUUAGAGACUAAAUUGAUGAUAAAUUAUUAAAUAUAGAAGCUUAAUUGUUUGUAAGCAUUUAAAUGUACACACCAAUUUGAUAGUUUAGUUGUACACGUUUGAUUAAAAGACUUAUGUAACUAAUUUUAGAUAAAUUCGUAUAUAUUUUUGAUAUAUUUAUAAUUUUAUAUAUCUAUUUGAAAGCAUCGUAUAAAGUGAGAGAUCAAUUUAAUGGUUUAGUUUUUUUAACAUUCUAUUUACUCUUUUUGUACUAAGUUGAGUAACUCAUUUUAAGCUUAGAGUUUCCAUAUAAAUAGAAUAUAUACAUUACAAUAAGUUUGUUCAAUUUUCUUUUGUAUGUUCUAGAUGGUUUAUUCAAUAGUUUAAUCUACUAAUUUUUUUACUUUAUUAUGAAUAUGACAACUAAAUUAAAAUAAAUUUUAUUUAUUCAAAUAUCUUUAUUAAUUACAGUAAGUUGAAAAUUUUGAUAAAUUAAAAUAUAUUAAUAAAAUAACGUAAUUAAUAAUAUAUUAAAUUAUAAAAUAAAUAAUUUAAAAAAUGUUAAAAAAAAAAUUAAAAUACGACAUAGAGAGUAAAAAACUUGCAUAGAAAAAUGGCAGAUAAUAACAUGUACUCAAAGAAGAUAAAAGUGAAUUCAUACAAAGGUGUUAUUAUUAUUAUGAUUUUAUUGGUUUGAAAAGGAAGCUGGAUGUUAAUAAUAAAAAAGAAAAUUAAAUUAAAAUAAUAAAAGGAAGCUGAAAGUUUUGGUUAGUUUGAGCGGUUUUUUAGGUGCUAAAUUGGUUUCAUAUUAUUUUGCUUUAAUAUAUUAAAGAUUAAUAAAAUGAAUAGUUUUAGAAAUUCAACUUAAAUGCUAGUCAUUUUACAUCAAUGCAUCAUAUAUCAUAUUAUUUAAAAUAUAUUAUUUUAUAAUUUGUUAGUUAAAAAAUUAAAAUGGUCAAAAUUAUCAAAUUUUAAUAUAUAAGAUUCUAACUUUGUAAAUCGAUGAGAUUCAAAUUGUAAGUAAAUUUAAAUGUUAUUAAUAAUUACUAUGAAAUGUGUUGAAAUAUUUGUUUUCUACAUAUUAAUUAAUGAAUAUAAUUAUCUUAAAUUUGUGAUUUUCUAAAGUAAGUAUUGAAAAUAUCAAAAUUUAAACCUAAAUCAUCUCAUGUAUUAACUUAAUUAAUAUCAUCUCAUGUAUGAAUAUAUUAAUGCUUAUAAAUAACUAUAGCAAAUCAAAUCAAAUACUUGUAUGUGCGUGUUUUUAACUUAAUUAAUAUCUUUCAAAUUUUAUAUUUUCAAUAAAAAAUAUGACCAUUAUAUUUUUGUAUACAACAAAUCAUUAUUAUAAUCAUAAACAUCAUAUCAGAUAAUCUAAUAUAUAAAUGUGUGUGGAUUGUUGUACAAAUAUAAAACUGUAAGAGAUAAUAACAAACAUAAACAAUUUAAAUGUUUUAUGUUAUAGUUUACUUGAUGUGUGUUUAUAAUUUAAAUUUUCGAAAAAAUCUGAAAGUACGAAAUUGUUUGAGGUUGUGAUACACCUUGAUAAAUAAUGUAGGUCAAGACUUUAAAUAGUAUAAAUACAUUUAUUUCACUUAUUGUCGGUAUUAGUAUUAGCUUAAAUGUGUCUUUACACAUGCCAUGAAAAGUGUUUUUUUUAGGAAAAAGUUUGUUAAUUGAAAAAGCCAAAUUGUAUGUCUUUAAAAAUUAACCUUAAUGGCUCCAUGGAAGAACAAAAGGGUGUAUGUGGAAUGUAAUAAUUCACUAAAUAUUUUGCUUUGCUGAAAGAUCAUUGAAUAUUUGUUGAUUUGGUCUUUUCGUUAUAACUUGUUUCCAUAAUGAAAAUUGAGUUAUCCUAAAUUCAAAAAAUAAGACAAAUACUAAUAAGUGCUCCCAACAAUUUGUUUUUAUUAUAUCGUUUGUUUUGUAACUUAGCAAAUAUUUUUUUUCUUAAUUAUGAGUCUCAAUUUGACUUUUAACACUGAUUAGCACUAACUAAUUUUGAAUUGUAUGAAAAAGUCAUAUGAAGUAGCAAUGUGGAUUUACAAAGGAGGGGAAUUUGAAUUGUAAAUGUUCCUAUUUAAAAUUUCUUGAAAAACUUAAGAUUUUAACUCAAGAAUGAUCUUGGUUAAGAAAACAGAAAACGGAGAACAUUCUUGGUUUUUAUCAAAAAACUGAGAACGUUCUUGGUUAAAUUAAAAUCAGAAAUUCAGUUUAUGUUUUUAACUUAAAUGGUUAAUCAGACUUAAUAAAUAAGGAGAUAAGAGUAAGAAUACCACACAUAGGUACAUCCUGAUUCACCCAACUUGAGUUAUGUCCGGUCUUUAAAACUGUGAGAUUCUCCACUAAAUGUUCAAAACAAAUAACCUUAUUGGUUUUACAGCACCUAGCUCAGAUCAACUUUGAUCUGUUACAAACUUAAUUCAUUUCUACCCAGAAAGAGAUUAAUCAGGUCACCUAUUGAUAUCAGCAUUGAUAGGAUUUCUUACAAUCUACCCAAACUAUAUUAAAUUCUUAUAAUUCGAGUUUUACAAUAAUGAUGAAAUUGUUUUUAACAUAAUCUGAGAUGUCUCAACUCUUGUUUGAGAUUCGAUUCUAUACAAAGAAUUCAAUAUAAUAAUAACAGAGUAUUGAAAUAUAAUUAUAACUAAUUCUUUUUUGAGAAGUGGGAAUUUCAAGUAUGUGAAUGUGAAUGAUUUAAAGAGAUUUGUUAUUACUUAAACUUCUGCGAUUUACCUAAGCAUUGGUCUUCUUUUUAUAAAUGUAUUAGAGCAAUUAAUAAUAGUCAAAAUAUAUAUUGAUAGUGCUUUGUCAAUUUUGAACAAAACCAAUAUAUAUGAAUAAAUAUAUUACAACCCUUGAAUACUUUUUGAAAUAUGUUAGAAUAGACUUAUUUCUUCAUUCUUGAUCAGAUUUCUCUUGUGUUUAAUGAUCCUUUUUGCUUCAGAUAUAUUUGUUGAUGUCAUUGCUUUGAUCUAGAGUUUUGAUUCUGUCAAAACAGCUUGGAGAAUGAUGAACUUUUGCAGAAUGUUAAUGAAUAUUCUAGAGAUUAAUAAUCAAUCUGGAGUUCUAGUCUUUGAACUUUCUGGAGAUUUGAUGAUCAAUCUAGAGGUUCAAUCUUGAUCAUUCUGGAUGUUUUCCUGAUUAAUCUGGAUGUCUUCUACAAUUCAAUAUUGUUUAACUUUCUUGAGAGUCAAGCUGGAGAACGUUUGAACUUGCUUGAUUCACGAAUUUUUUUCUUUGUGAUUCAAAUGGUUUCUUUGAUUAGAAUGGAUCCAUCUUGAUCCUUGUCAAGUAUUGAUAACAUAAGUGUAGUUUCCGGAGACAUAAUUUUUUUUGAACUAGUUAAUAUUGAUUGAUCUUGGGGUUGUGAUGGUCAGUCUUAAUUCUGAAGAACAUUCUCCGUUUUCACAUACUUUGUCUAAAAUGUUCUUCUUUCAGUUUUUAUUUUUUAUUGUUGAUUUCUUUGCUUUGCUAGAGUCACAUCUUUGAAUUAAUCCACUCAAAAGAACAAGUUAAAUUAAUAUAACAUUUAAAAUCAUAAUUAACAUUCUUAAUUAAUCUUUAUUUAUUUUCAUCAAAACUUAAAUUGAGAGUCAGUCGUAACAUCAUAUUUACAUUUGACUUUAAUGGUCGGUUACUGAGGGUUCUUCCAUUGAAGGUACAAUAAUGAGCCUUAUAUAAGACCAUUUGGUCUCUUACAUUUGAAAAAUAGUAAUUUAAUUCUAAAAUUAAAAAAUAUCAAUUAAUUUUGUCAUUUUUUUUAAUGUUAGGCUAAAAUUUUAAUAGUUUUAUGGUUUUUUUUAACUAACGAAAAACUAUUUAAUUAUUAUGUAUAACUUUUAUUAAUUUUAAUAUCUUUUUUUUAUCAAGAGUUUUCAUACUCUAUAGUUUGGAUGAUUGAUUUGCUAUUUAGAAUAUUUGUAGAUUAAAUUGAUUGACAUCUAAAUUUUUAAAGACUAAAAAUGACUAUUUGCUCUAUAAUAUAUUAAUGUUUCACCAAAAUUUGUUACAUUGAAUAACUAUAUAAAACACUUAUUAGAAGCAACCUUAUUUCGAGACUAACUUCCAUACAUAUUAUGUUGGUUUUAAUUUUUAUAAAAUACAAUAAGUUUAUCUUUAUUAUAAAAAAAAAAAAAAAAAAAGAAGAAGACAUAAAGAGUCCAUAUAAUAUUAUUUUAGGAAUGUAAUUAACACUAAUCUCUAUGACAAUAGUUGGGGCCAUAUCCAAAACCAUCAUCAGGAAUAAUAUAAUUAGGUUUGUAGUAAAAUGUGAUAGGAGGCUUCCUAUAGUCAUCUAUGGUCACAGACUCUACUAUCCACCUAUCAUCAUUAGGCCUUCGUACCCCAUUAUGGGGUCUACUUCUAUAUAUCAACACUUUGCAGAUGUUGUAUCCACAAGGUCCCUCUAAGUCCAAUACAUCUGUUUUGCACGGCUCCAACCUAGUUUUACUAUUAGGACCACCCACAUUCUCAACAUAAACCUGCAAUUAAAUUAAAACUUUAAAUAAAUUUUCAAUCUUUAUAGAAUUUUAAAAUUUUAAUUUUAAUAAACAAUACAUUAGUACUUGAUUAUUUCUAGUGAAAGAAAAUUAAAUAUUGUAAUUGCGUAUUAAACUGUUACUUUUAAAGGAAAAAAAAAAUUAAAAAGAAUAGAUAAUAUGAUUUGUUUUCCAAAACAAGAAACAAAGUCACAAAAUUUUAAAAUUGAGUUAAUAGUAUUUGUGCAAGAAAUUAAAUUUUGAAGAAUAAUAGAGAACCAUGUAUAUAGUUAGUUAUAUUAUACGGUAAAUUAUUUGUAGUAGAGAAAAACAUUACCGUCUCAUAGCGUGUAGCGUUUCCAAAUAAAAGAGUGAUUCUGUCAUUUGUAAUAAGUGGAGAAAGACAACUUGUCUUUAUAGCAACUCUGUAGUUGCAAUUCAAUUUAUCCAAAUUCUGAAACAUGCAUAUAUAUACAAAUCAUAUACAUAGCCUCUUAUUUAAUAUUUAAUAAACUUUCAUUUUUAAAAUGUGUAGUGACUACAAGGGCAUUGAUGAAACUAAAGCACAGUUUCCCAACCCUAAAUUUUUGGCAGCAAACAAAGAGGCCACUAAUCAAAAGCUAUAACUAAACAAUUCAAUUAAACGAUAUAAAUUCUUAUAUUUAAGUUAUACUUUUAUUAAAAAGAUAAAAUAAAACUAAUGUUAGGUAAAUUAUAAGUUGUUUUUAUAAAUUACACCGAGGAGUUUAUGAAAAAAUAAAAAAUAACUUAUAGACAUAUUAUAAUUAUUUUCUUACAUUCUCUCAAAUAAUAUCACACAUUGAUUCUAUGUAAUAAUAUAAAAUAGGCUAAAUUACAUCUGUGGUCCCUUAACUUAAUUUCAGGUAACGUUUUAGUCAUUUAUCUUUUUUUUUUCUUCCCGAUUUAGUCCUUUAUUCCUAACAAUAUUAAAUAAAGUAUGAAAAUAUGAGUUUAUUUGAAGAUUUGCGUUACGAAUUUGAUGAAAUUUGUAUUAUAUUGAAGAAUAUAAUUAAUUUUAUGAGUUUUGAUUGAAUUUUUUUUUUUGAAUUUUUGUAUAAAAAAGGAUAACAUUGUUGAAAUUUUAAAACAUAAAAUAUCAAAUUGUCACUUAAAAUUAAAAUAAAUGACCAAGUCGGGAAAAAAAAAAGAUAAAGGACUAAAAUGUUACUUGAAAUUAAGUUAAGGGACCACGAAUGUAAUUUAGCCUAUAAAAUAAGUCAAUAUAAACAAAUUUAUAUUGUGUGCAUAACUAACUUAAUUAAAAACGUAUAACAUGAUUGUUUAUCAUUUAAAUAUUUAUAUAUAAACAAUUUAUGUAAUAAAAGAUAAUAUAAAUUAAAUGUUUUUAAAUAAACAAUUUAAUAUAAGAUGUUUUCAUAUUCUAUUCUUGAUAACUUAUAAAAAUAGGCUAAAAUUAGUUUAUGAAAAAUGCAUAAGUUGUUUAUUCUCCCUCUAAUAAAACUAACAACCACUCCCAAGUUGAAGCUGAGUUAACUAAAAUGGUAUUUGAGUGUUAGUGUUAAUAUUUUCAAAAAAUAAAAUAGAGAAAAUAAUAUAAAAUUAAGUUACUUGUGGCUGGGUAGUGUCAAGCGCCGAAGAUCGGUUGAUUCGAGAUUCAAGCCAAGUGAACAAUGUUGGUGUUGCAUGAGACAAAAUAAAAAUUAGGGAGAAUGUGAGGAUUAAGGUAAGAACUUUCAUGAUUUUAUUAACCUCUUUUGUUUGCAUUAAAGAGAAGGGAUGGAGGAAUACCUAACUGAUUUUAGAUAUUGUUGAAUUUUGUAGAGUGCCCUAAUAGAUACAUGAGAUUAUCAAUAUUUUAAAAAAAUCUAUGACUCUAUAAAAAUAUUAUUUAUAUAGUCUUUUUAUAAUAUAUGGUAAACUAUAUGAGACAAAUUGUAAAUUCGAUACUAAUGUCGGACAUUAAAUUGAUUGUAAGUUGUUAACUAAAAUGGUAUUUGGGUGUUAGUGUUAAUAUUUUUAUAUUGGGAUGAUCAGUUAAACUUCAAGAAAAUUUUUCAAUACUCAAACAAAGCUUUUUCAAGUUCAAUAUAAGCAGAAAACCAAUUAUGCUAAGUCAAACACUUAAAUUACAUGAACUUAGUAUAAAAUACUAAGAUCAAGCUAAAUAUAAGCAGGAAAAUAAGUAUAAGCAGAAAAUCAAAUACAAUUCAAGCUAAAUAUGAAAAUGCUCAAUUCUAGCAGAUCAAACAAUAAAAUUACAUGAACUCAGUUCAGAUUAUAUGGCUUAUAUAAAACAAUUAAACACAUUAAGAUGUCAUUCUUCUUUUCCUGGUGGGAUUCACAUUUGUUUGUCCAUUAACGAUACAAAACGAUUGAUUAAUCCAAAUUCCCUCAUCAUGAUCAUCUCUAAGAUAUAAACCAUCAUCAAUUGAAUCAAUUUCAUGUGGUUGUGAGGGUUAUGACAACGUAUUAAAUUUGUUUUUAUUUAUUUAAAGUGAAUGAUUUUUAUUUAAAGCGCAAGCCUUUUACAACAUUUGUAUAAAAAACAUUCUAAUAGGUCAUUUAAUUAUAUGAAAGCGCAUGAAUUUUACAGCGCUUUCACAAAAAGCGCUUUAAAAGACAUGUAACAUAAGAUGAGAGCGCUACAUUUUACAGCGCUUGUGUUUAAAGCGCUCAAAAAGCGCUGUAAAAGCUAUGGGAGAGCGCUUCAAUCUACAUCACUUUUAAGUUACGGGAGAGCGCUUCAAUUUACAGCGCUUUUAAAAAAAGCGCUGUAAAAGGGUUGUAAACAUUAUGUGCAAGCGUUAUGUGACCCUACAACAACACUUGUCAAAAAAGCGUUGUUGUAUCCUUCAUUAUUUUUAAAAAAUUUUACAACAGCACUUGUAUUUAAUAAACGCCGUAAAAAAGCGCGCUAUAAUAUGUCUAUUUUUGGCAUAGUGACUCAUAUACAUAGCCUCUUAUUUAAUAUGUAAUCAAACAUGAAAUCCAUUUGAGUACAUAAAACUUUCAUGUAAAAAAUGUGUAGCAACUACACUUCAAAAGGGUAUUGAUGAAAUUGAAGCAUCAUUUUCCAACGUAAAUUUUUGCAGAAACAAAAAGGGCACUAACGAAAAACUACUAUUAAACAGAUUGUCCGUUUUGUUUAUAAUAAAUUAUAUCAAAGAGUUUAUAAAAAUAAAUUAAAAAUAUUUAUAAAAAUCAUAACUUUUUAUUUUCCACUCUCUCCAAUAAUAUCAUACGUGUUUAUCCUAUUUGAUAAUCUCAAAUAAUUUAAUAUAAACAAACUUAUGUUGCGCAGAUAACUAACUUAAAUAGAAACUUAUAAUAUAUAUAAACAUUUAUCAUUUAAGUGUUUAUAUAUAAAUAAUUUAUGUAAUAAAAAAUAAAAUUAAGUAAAAUUAUUUUAAAAUAAUCUAUUUAAUAUAAAUUAUUUUCAUAUUCUAUUCUUAAAAGGUUAUAAAAAUAAAAUAAAAUAAAAUCAGUUAAUGAAAAUACAAUAAAUUAUUUUAGAAGUUCCGCCAAAUACUCUGCAGAGAUGUUACUCUUCCACUAACUAAACUAACAACUACUCCAAAGUUGAGGUCGAGUGAAUUAAAUGAGUAUUUUUGUGUUAGGGUUAAUAUUUCAAAAAAUAUAUUAAAAUAAAGUGGCGAAUAUAUAUAAAAUUUAAUUACUUGUAGUUGAGCAUCGUCAAGCGCAGAAGAUUGCUUCAUUUGAGGUUUAAUCCGAGUUAGCAAUGUUGGUGUUGCAUGCGAUAAAACAAUUACGGAGAACGUGAGAAUUAAGGUAAGAGUUUUCAUAAUUUUGCUAACCUUUUUUCUUUUCAUCAAAGAGAAGAAGGAACACCUAAUUGAUUUUAGACAUUGUUGGGUUAUAUUAUAACGUUAUAAAGGCCAAAGACAAUAUUUAAACUAAGACACCAUGAAAUACUAACAAAACAAAAUACUUUACUUUUUUAUUUAAUUGUAAUUUUAAUCCCUCUAUUUUUACUAAUUUACGAAAUUGGUUCUCCUAUUUUUAAAUCGACAGUUUUGCACUCUUUUUAUGAUUUUUAACUAAAAAAUGAUGACGUGUGAUGUUUUAAAUAACGUGACAUAUGAUAACAUGUCUACCAUGUGUUUUUAUUGGCCAGCCAAAAUCAAUCAAGAAAUCUACAAUUAUAAAAAGGAAAAAAAAGUGCAUAUGGAUAUAUAUAUAUAUAUAUAUAUAUAUAUAUAUAUAUAUAUAUAUAUAUAUUACAAAUUAUGCAUUUUCUUAAUAACUUUAACCUUUGAAUUUUCAUAUAAAUAGAAUACAACUCAAUAAAUUUGUUAAAUUUUAUUUUGUAUAUUUAAGAUGGUUUAUCCAAUAGUUUAAUCUACUAAAUUUUUAAUUUUAUUAUGCAUAUUAUAACUAAAUUAUAUAAUUUCCGAGUUAGACUUAAAAUGGAUUCAUUGCUCAACCGUUCAAUUCCCUCUUUCAGUUUGAUUUUCAUAUAUAUUAGUAUUAUAUGUCAUGAAAAAUAACUUUCUUUAGGUAAAAAAGUAGUUAAUUGAAGAAAAACAAAUUGUACAUCUUUGUAAACCUUAAGGGAUCCAUGGAAGAACAAAAAGGUGUUUAAUAUAAUAAUUCACUAUUCUUUUGCUUUUCUGAAAGAUCAUCUAUUAUUUGUUGAUUUGGCCCUUUCAUUCAAACUUAUUUCGGUAAGGGGAACACACACAUUACAAUAAUUUAUAUUUUAAUAUGAUUGAUUUAUAUAUUCAAAAGCAAAUUUAACAUAAAUUUUAGGAUUAAUUGCAAUUUCAGUUAUUUUAUUUUUAUAAUUCAUAUAAUUGACACUCUUAUUUUAAAAAAUUUAAUAGUUUUUAUCCUUCUUCUAUAUAUUUGAAUUAAAAAAAAUGAAGAUAUGAUAUAUUUUAAAUAAUGUAUUAUAUAAUCUCAUGAUGUAAAAACAUCGAAAUAUAUUAAUUAUUCAUAUGUUAUUAAUUAAACUAAAUCGUUUACCUGAUGCAAUGGUAUAAUAAUAUAAGAUUAAUAUUAUUUUAUUUUAAGGAAUAAAUGUUUUUUGGAAAUAAAAUUUAAUAAUUAGUUAAAAUAAUUUUUUAAUAUUAAAUUUUAAAAUAUGUGAAAAAUACUACGUCAAAAAAUUAACACUUUUAUUUCAUAUAUGCAGUGAGAUAUGCAUGAUCAACGUAAUAUAAAUUGUUAUAAAUUUUAAAAGCUUAAGUUCGUGUUUUUCUAAUUUUUGUCCCUGUAAAUUUUAUUUUUCAAUUUAAAAUAUGUAAAUUCAAUUUAGUUUUAAAAUUAUCAUCGUUGUUAGUUGUUGUUAAAAAAAAAAUUUAUGUAGCAAAUGGAGGUGUGGCGUGGUAGUAUCUGACACGACAAUAUUUGAUGAGGAUAAAAUCAUAAAUUCCUGAAUUUAAAUAACCUAAAAUUUGAAAUCCCUUUUUUCCUUCUUCUCUGUGGUGCAACCUAAAAUUCCAACUAUGCUUCUUCUUGGUUCCACUAUGGCGUCAUUUUUGUCUGCAACAAAUACAACUAAUUUCAAUUGUCUGAGUGUGGGUGUAGGAAAGCAAUGCGUAUAUAAUACAUCUCUAACACAAAUGAAAAUCCUAAAUGACGAUUUUGGAGAUGUCCUCGUUGGAAUGUGAAUAAUUUUUCUUAAAUAUGCGAUUUUUAUGUUUAUACUUUGUAAUUAUAGUUUACAUUUAAUAAAUCCCUUAAUCUAGUUUACAUUUCCUAAUCUCUAAAUCUAGUUUCUGAUUUUGGAUAGAAGGACUAAAAUAUAAUAUUUUUAACUUAAUUUAUUAUAUUUUUUAAUCAAUUUAAUUACUUAAUUGUAUUUUUUAAUAAUUUAAUUUUUUUCAUUCAAUUAUUAAUUAUUUAAUUAAUAAUAAUCAUCCAUGAAACAACAGCAUCACUCUUUUGUUUGUCACAGAAACUUUUUUUUUUAACAACAAUUAGCAAUAGAGAUAAUUUUAAAAUUAAAUUGAACUAACAUGGUUUAAAUUUAAAACAAAAUUAUAUAGACAAAUAUCAGAAAGACACGAACUUGCAUCCACGUUGUAGUUGAAGUUGAAUUUAAUGGCCAUAUACCAAGAGUUAUGCCAAUUGAAGGUAUGGUAACAAGCAUUAGAUUAAAUCCAUUUGAAAAAUAGUACUUUAGUUCUUAAAUUAAAAAAUAUCCAUCAAUUUAAUCAUUUUUUCAAAUGUUAGACUACAAUUUUAAUACAUUUAUGCUUGCUUGAUGUAGUAAAAGACUAUUGAAGUUAGUAUGUAUAACUUUUAUUAGUUUUGAUAUUCUUUUUUUUUUUUCAUCAAGAGUUUUUAUAUUCUUUAAUUUAGAUGACUAAUUUUCUAUUUUGAAAAUUUAUGGAUUAAAGUGACUGACAUCUAAACUAUUAAGGACUAAAAAUGAAUGUUUACUCCAUAAUUUAUUAAUGUUUCACCAAAGCUUGUGUUAUUUUUUAAUUUAAAAAUAUUUUAAAUUAAAAUCAAUUUAUGCCACUAAAAAUAUUACUGAAUUGAGUCACGCAUUGAAUCGUUCUCUUUAAGACGUUUUGCGACACUGUCUAAAUUGUGCAAGACAGACUACAAAACACAAAAUCUCCAAGAUAAAACAGUUCAUAUACAUUGUAUCAGAGUUCUACUGCACCAUAGAAAACUGUUUUAGAAUUACACCAUCAAUAUGACAAUCAGAUGGCUGCCACUCGUAAUAUGAUAUUGUGACCACUCGAAAGAAAGAGAAGAAGUGAGAAAGAAAGGGGGAGAUUCAGAGAAAAGUCCCAUAUGCAGAGGGCUUUUUGUGUGCUUGUCCAACUAAGGAGAACCCUCUAUUUAUAGAGGAAGUCUGCAACUGAAUCAGAGAAAAACAAGUGACCCAUCAGUCCCGAUUCACAAAACGUGCGCUCCAAUCUUCCCAAGGUUUUUUACCACAGAAACAUGCGCUCCAAACUUAACUACGUUUUUAACCGAGCAAUAAUCAGAUGCGUGAGUCCAAAGACUAUGGUUUGAUCGGGCAAUAAACAGAUGCACGAAUUCAGGAAGAAAGAUUGGAUCAGAUGUUGAAUGUUGACUCGAUGAAGAGAAAUUACAUAAUUAACAUAUGAGAGAUAAAAAUGCAAACAUUCAUUUAAUAUUGAAUAAAUAAAUAAUUUAUUAAUUUUUCAUAUACAAAAAAAAUAGGCACAAUUGCUCCUACGGUCCCUUAACUUAAUUUCAGAUAACACUUCAAUUAUUUAUCUUUUUUUUUCCCCGAUUUGGUUCUUUAUUUAAUUUUAUUACAAAAAUUGGAAAAUAUGAAUUUAUUUGAAGAUAUAAGUUAUACAUUUGAUGAAAUUUGCAUUAUAUUGAAGAUGCUAAUUAAUUUUAUGAGUAAUUUGUUUGAAAAUUUUGAUGAAAUUUUAUAAAAAAGAUAAGGAUAACAUUGUUAACAUUUUAAAAUAUAAAAGAUCAAAUUGUUUUCUUAAAAUUAAAUAAAUGAUCAAAUCGAAAAAAAGAAAGAAAAAAAGAUAAAGGAACAAUUAUACCCUAAAAAAUAAUACAUCACUUAGCUCGGGCCAAGCUCGGUUGACUGGACGGCAGCGGAACACCUCAAGUUCCAUACUUUCACCUUAUAAGCACUACUAGUAUGUGUUAUCCUUCUUAUGUGGAACUUCUUUAUUUUUCAAUUCACACCAACACCUACUUUCAUUAAUGUCAUGAUUAUUUCCGACAACCAUCUAUUAAUAUUACAACAUUUCUAACAGUUUGUUAUAUUAAAUAUUUUCUAGUUCUAAUCAAUUUAAAUUUGCGCGCAUUAAUUGUGUACGAGACUAAUGUAACUUUAUUUUAUUGGGCUUCUACUAUAUAUUUGUAAAUUGACAUAUUUUUAUCCUAUCAAAUUAAUUGAUCAAUAGUUGAAUGAUAUAGCUUCACCAAUCGACAAUAAUGAUUUAGUUAACCUUUAAUAUACAAUAUAUGAAUAUUGAGGUAGAUGAGUUAGUGAUAAACUAACUCAAUUAUCGGAUAAAAUUUUGAUAAUACCAAUAUUAUAUACUCUUUUUCUUCUUCAUAGUACACUAUAAGUUGUCUUAUUUUAUUAAAAAAGCGGAAACCCUACAUCUAUCAAUGUUGAUAUUGGUUUUUAAUAGAAAUCUCUCAAAAAAAACGUCAACAAAUAAAUAUUUAGUACGAAGUUUUGUCAAGUUAAAAAAUAAUCUUUAAUACAUAUGUAAAUAUUUCAAAGAUGGAAUAAGUUUGACAUCCAAAUUUGAUAUCAUUUUCAUAAAGAAACUAUUAUGUCAAAACAUAAAACAGUUAUUUAGAGUGUAACUAGAUAGCCUCCAUACAAUAGAGUAAGCUUAUCUUUAUUAGCAAAGGUUGAGACCAUAGCCAACAUCACCAUCAGGAAUUUUAUAACGACCACCAAAGUUAAAUAUGGUGCUAGGGUAGUUCUUAUGGUCAUCUAUGAUGAUAUAGUCUACCAUCCAACCAUCUGAACCUUUCCUAAAUAUAUUCAAUUUGCAGAUUUUGUCCAAACAACCUCCUUCAAACCGUAUAAUUGUUGUCAUGCACUGGUCGAACGAUGUAGAAUCAGUAUCAGGACCAUUCAUUUUCGGAGAAAAUACCGGUUCGUGUUCAUCGUCUCCAAAUGAAAGAGUGAUUCUGUCUUUUGUAUGAGGUGGAGAAAGACAGCCUGUCCUUAUCACAGCUUUGUAAAAGCAAUGUUCAUUCACAUUCUGAAACAUGCAUGCACAUAUAUGUCAUUAUACUCUCUCAUGUUUAUUCUAUUUGAUAAUUUUAAAUAAAUCAAUACAAACAAUUAAAAACUUAUAAUAUUUUCUAAAACAAAUAAAUAAGUAUAUAAAAUUUAAUAACCUGUGGUUGAAGAACGUCAAGCGCAGAAAAUUGGUUCAUUUGAGGUUUAAGCCGAGCUAGCAAUGUUGGUGUUGCUUGCGAAAAAACAACAACUAUGGAGAAUGCGAUGAUUGAAGUAAGUGCUUUCAUGAUUUUGUUAAUAUAUUUUAUUUGCAUCAAAGAGAAGAGAAGAAGGAACACCUAAUUAAUUUUAGAUAUUAUAGCAUUACAUAUGCCAAGGGAAAUAUUUAAAGACAACGUGAAAUCCUAACGAAACUCUAUGGAUUUUUUUUAAUAUUGUGUGAACCACCCACGUUAUAACAUUGUCUUCGAAAUUAUCAAUAUUUCAAAACAUCUAUGACUCGGUCAAAUUAAAUGAUUUUCAGUUUUCAAUUCAAUAUUUAAUAUCAUUUUUUCAAUUCUACAAUCUAAUUUAUAUUAUUUAUAUCACUCUUAAGAGGUAAUCAAUAUUUUCACUUUAUAUUUAUACUAAUGAUAUACCAAUACUUAAAAUAAGUAGUUUAAAAAAAAUUAUGAUAUAUCUUUCAUUUUUUUCUAUAUAUAUUAUACUUUCUUAAUAUUAGUAAACUUCUAUUUCUAUAAUAAGAUAAUAUUUGUUAACAUUAAUAUUUUGAAAAUUAUUCAAGUAUUUGUUUACGAUGAAUAACUUUAACCUUAGAAUUUCCAUAUAACUAGAAUACAACCAAAUAUAUUUGUUCAAUUUUCUUUUGUAUGUUCAAGAUGGUUUAUCCAAUAGUUUUAUCUACUAAAAUUUUAAUUUAAUUAUGGAUAUUAUAACUAAUUUAUAUAAUUUCCAAGUUAGACUUAAAAUGGAUUCAUUGCUCAACUGGUCAAUUCCCUCUUUCAGUUUGAUUUUAAAAUAUAUUAGUAUUAGCUUUAAUAUGUCUUUAUAUAUAUCACGAAAAGUAAUUUUCUUUAGGUAAAAAAGUAGUUAAUAGAAGAAAAAACAAAUUGUACAUCUUUGUAAACCUUAAUGGAUCGAUGAAAGAACAAAACGGUGUGUAAUGUAAUAAUUCACUAUUCUUUUGCUUUUCUGAAAGAUUGUCUAUUAAUUUGGCCCUUUCAUUAUAACUUGUUUCGGUAACGGGUACACACACGUUACAAUAUUUUAUAUUUUAAUGUGAUUUAUCUAUAUAUUCAAAAGCAAUUUAUGAUAAAUGUUAAGGUUAAUAGCAGUUUUGGUAGCCAUAAUUUCACCAUUUUACAUAAUUGACUCUCGUAUUUUAAAACUCUACAAUUUUUAUCUCUAUUUUAUAUAUUUAAAUUAAAAAAUAAUGAUGUAAUAUAAUAUAAUAUAAAUAAUGUGUUAUAUAAUCUCAUAACAUAAAACAUCUAAAUGUUUUAAUUAUUAAUUAAACUGAAUUUUAUAGGUGUGAUGCACAAGAAGAAGAAUAGAAGACUACUAUUUAAUUUUUUAUUUUAAGGAAUAAAUGUCUUUUUUGAAAUAAAAUUUAAUAAUUAGUUGAAAUAAUUUUUUUAAUAUUAAAAUUUAAAAUAUAUUAAAAAUGCCACAUCAAAAGGUUUACAUUUAUCUUUUAUAUAUGCAAUGAGAUAUACAUGAUCCACAUAAUAUAAAUUAUUAUUAAUUUUUAAAAUAGUGGUUACUAAACAAAAUUACUAAAUUUAAAGUCAUUUAUUCCUCCAUUCUUUUAUCCUUUACUACUUAUAUUUCAUAUCAGAAUAAAUAUGAUUUUAAACCCUAUCAAAUCUAUAACUUUUAAGUUUUAAGUUUUGUAAUUAUAAAAAAAAUAAAAAUAAAAAUAAAAAUAAAAAUAAAUACAACUUUUAACUAUUACAAAAUUACAUCACAUACAAUUUUAGGUUUACAAAAUUAUUUUUUCUUUCCUUCGUUUACUUUUCUUAAUAUUUCCUUUGGUCUAGUAUACAAAAACAUGUUAAGGAGCUUUUUUUAGUCACUAUUGUUAUUAAAAUAAAAUUGUCACAUAUUUUAAGAUAUAUUAAUUGUUAAUUUUUUCAUACCACUGUUUAAUCUGAAAUAAAUAAAAAUGAACAUAUUCCAUAUAAGUGAUUUUCACCAUUUUCUUAGAGACUAAAUUGGAUUAUAUUGCCUUUUUUAUUAGUGUACUUAAUCUAUUUCAUUUUAAUUAUUUGAUUUGAGUGAUUUUAAAAAAAUAAUAAUAAUUAAUUUUAUCAAUUUUAAUGAUAAUUUAUUGAAUUGUUUAUGAGCAUGCUUUUAACUUAGUAUCUUUCUUAUAUUAGAUGUUGAAUAAAAAAUAUUACCACUAAUAUUCUUUUACAAAAUAAAUUAUUAUCAUAAUCAUAAACAUUAUAUAUUAUAUCAGAUAAUCUAAUAUAUAUAUAUAUAUAUAUAUAUAUAUAUAAAUGUGUUUCGAUUGUUGUACAAAUAUAAGAGGAGUAUUUAUAACUUCAAUUUUAUAAUGAUUUACUUAUUGUCAAUGUUCGAGAAAAUCUUAAAGUAUGAAAUUGCUUGAGGUUGUAAUUGAAAUGUAAUGUAGUUCACGACUUUAAAUAGUAUAAAUAAAUUGAUUUCACUUAUCGUAAAUAUUAGUAUUAGUUAAAUGUAUCUCUACACAUGCCAUGAAAAAUAGUUAUUUUUUAGGGAAAAAAGUAGUAAGUAGAAAGAAGAAAAAAAACAAAUUGUAAUGUUUUUCAUAUGUAAUGUUUGAUAUACCAUAUAGUCAAAUGAUAUAUAUAUUGUGAUAAAAUAAUAAAAUUGUCCUUGUAUUUUAUUAAAUUUUUUUCUUUUGAAAUAAUAAUUAUCAUUUUUUUAAAUAAACCAAAAACACUAAAAAAAAAUAUAAAUAAAUUAUGAAGUAAUUUUAUAUAAUUGAAAAAAAAAUUACAUUGCUAAAAAAAUUUAUAUUAUUAAAAUUUGCAAUACAUUAUAUCAAGUUAAAAUUGUUGACCAUGUACGUAACAAUAAAAUAUCAUAAAAAACAAUACAUUGUCUUACAUACAAAAUAAAUCAACAAAAGUAAAAUGUAUUAAAGAUAAAUAAGUAAAGUCAAGUACAUAAAUCGAACUAGUAGAUCAACGACUUAACAAAUGCAAGACGAUCAACAUUAUCACAAUCCUAAAAUAUGUGCAAGCAAUGUGACACAUAAUAUUUUGUCUGCUGCAGUAAAACACUCUUUGUUGUGUUAGCUACAUUUUCUUCAACUCAUUCAUAAUAUUUUGUGAAUCAUCAAACACAUUUUUACCAAUACAUAGACGAUUUGCAGUUUCACCCAAUUAUUAUAAACUUUUUUCAAGUCAAUUCCCAAAAGAAUUUCCUAAUUCAGAAAUACCAUGAGCAAUAUUAUAUGCUCAUAUGUUUCUUAUCUUUGAUUGAAUUUUCAUUUGGUCAUUAUUACCUCUAGAUUGUGAUUGACAAAGAGAUAGUGAUUGAGUAAUUUCUACUUAAAGCUCAUCACCAUUAAUUUGUUCUACCUUUACUUUAUCUAUCUCUUCGACAUUAUCACUAGGGGGAGCAUCUCCCUUACCAAUAGCACGAUCUUUUCCAAAAUUACAAACAAGCUUAUCAAAGACUAACAUACCUAUAAUGUUUUGCGUUUGGACGACUCUACACAAACAUAAAAAAUAUAACUUUUCAAAUAAUCAAAAUGAACUCAAUAGAAUAUACGAAGUUGCAAUAAAUUAAUGAACACUAACCUUCGCAUAUUCUUUCCAUACUAUCCACCUUAAUCAUUUUUUUCUCUUCAUCCCAACCGAAUUCACUGUGAUUUAACAUAUCAAAAGUUGUUCCAUAAAUUAACUUUGACCUCUUUAUUGCAGAUUCAAAGUGUGUUUUUACCUUAAUUCCACAUCCAAAAAAAAUUUCCUCCAAUUUUGCCUUGAGCACAGUUAAGGUAUUUGCUUUGAAUUGUUCAUUGUCACAUCUUAGACCAUUAUUUACAGCUUCAAUUAGUAUAUCAAGAAAUUACUUCAUUAUCUUUUUCAGACAAUUUUUACAAUCUCUCUUCCUCUUGUUACUUGAUAUGCGUGCCAAAUUUAGAUUUCAUUUCUAUUGUCAACCAAAUUAUAAACUAUAUAGUAUUUCAAUAAUUCUACAUCAAUAAAAUAAAAAAGCAAAUCACAUAAAAGAUUGUAAAUAUAUAAUGAACAAAAGUUUCAAAAUAUAAAACAAAUAAAAAAGUCAUUUAUUUCAAUAUGGAAGGUUCCAAGAUACUGAGCAAAUGUUCUCCUCUUAAUAUCUCUCUAUCCAUUAAUUGAUUUCUAAUUCUAUAAUUUCCAUAAAACCACGUUAAAGAAUGACUCACUAUAAAAAAAAUUGCUAAACAAAAUCCAACCAUCUUAAAAAAACAUUUGUUCGAACUAACUAGUGUUUAAACAAAUUUCAUGUUCUGAAUUGGAAAUUUGUCACCGGAUGAUGAAUACGGUACACAACAUAUUGAUUCCAUCUUUUAUUUCGAAAGCUAUUGGCAUAUGUAUCUUGUGUUACUUUUAUUAAAAGUUUCUAGUUUUUCUUUGAAUCUUAGUCCCUUUUUAUUCACCAACAACAACUAGAAACAUACAUACCAAUAUGCAAAGAAAAUAUCACAAAUAAAGUACCGACACGGUCACGAUCGAACCACACCAAUACAAACAUGCAACUUGAUAAUUCAACUCUAAGCUCCAUACAUAUUAUAUAUUAUGUUGCUUCUAAUUUUUAUGAAAUACAAUAAGAUUAUCUUUAUUUAAAAAAAAUAAAAAGAAAGAAAGAGUCCAUAUAAUAUUAUUUUAGGAAUGUAAUUAACACUAAUAUUUAGGACAAUAGUUGGGGCCAUAUCCCAAACCAUCAUCAGGAAUAAUAUAGUUCUCAUCGAAAUCAAAUCUGAUUGGAGGGUUCUUAUAGUCCUCUAUGUAGACAUACUCUACUAUCCAAGUAUCAUCAAACGUUGGUAACAAACUAUGAUGUCCACUCCUAAUUAUCAACAAUCUGCAGAUUUUGUCGCGACAUGGUCCCUCUAAGUCCAAUUGAACUGUCAUGCACUGCCCCACCCUCUCAUCCUUAGGACCACCCAUAUUCUCAAUGUAAAUCUGCAAUUAAAUUAAAAUUUUAAAUAAAUUUUCGGUUUUUAUAAAUUUUUAAAAUUUUUAAUUUUACUCAUGAUAAAAAAUUAUAUUUUUUAAUUUAUAUAUAAUUAUUUUGCAAGUUGUUUUAAUUAUUGUUGAAAUAAAAUAUCAUUAAACUUUUAAAUUUUUGAAUAUCUUUUACAGUCAUAUUUUAAAUAUUAUUAAAAAUUUAUCUGCACAAAUUUACAAUUUUUUAACAUGGAAUAAAUUAAAUAUUAACUUUUAAAUGUCACAUGUUCAAAUUUAAAGUAUAUAAAAUAUAGACCUAUAAAUCAACUUUUGAGUUUGUUUUUUGUGUAUAAAUAUUUUAUAUUAUAAAUAUUUAUGCAAAAUAAUCAUUCAAAAAUAUACGUUGAUGUUUCAAUAAUGAUUAAAAUGGCUUGCAUUGGACUAAAAUAUGUGAUUUUUUUUUACAAUGAAUAAAAAUAAAAUUUUAAAAUUUAUAGAGUAGAAAAACUUAUUUAAUCCUAAAUUAAAUAUAUAUGUAUAGAUAUACUUCGACCAAAAUUUUAUUUGAGUUUUUCAAACAAUACAUUAGUACUUGAUUAAUUCUAGUGAAAGAAAAUUAAAUAUUGUGAUUAGGAAAUAAAAUGUAACUUUUACAGGAAAAAAUUAAAAAGAAUACAUAAUGUGAUUUGUUUUGCAAAACAAGAAACAAAGUCACAAAAUUUUUAAAUUGAGUUAAUAGUAUUUGUGCAAGAAAUUAAAUUUUGAAGAGGAAUUGAGAAACAUGUAUAGUUACUAGUUAUAUUAUAUGGUUAAUUAAUUAUUUGUAGUAGAGAAAAACAUUACCAAUCCAUUGCGUGAAGCGUCUCCAAAUGAAAGAGUGAUUAUGUCAUUUGUAUGAACUGGAGAGCGACAACUUGUUUUUACGGUAACCUUGUAUUUGCAAUCCCAUUUAUCAAAAUUCUGAAACAUGCAUAUAUACAAAUCAUAUACAUAGCCUUUUAUUUUUAAGAUGCAAUAAAACAUGAAAUUAAUUUGAGUAAAUAAAACUUUCAUAUAUAAAAUGUGUAUUGACCACAAGGGCAUUAAUGAAAACUAAAGCACAAUUUCCCAACCCUAAAUUUUUGGCAGCAAACAAAUUAAAAAGGCACUAAUCAAAAACUACUACUAAACAAUUUAAUUAAACGAUAUAAAUCCUUACAUAUAAGUUAUAUCCUUAUUAAAAAGAUAAAAUAAAAUUAAUUUUAAAUAAAGUAUAAGUUAUUUUUAUAAAUUACGCCGGAGAGUUUAUGAAAAAAAUUAAAAAUAACUUAUAGACACGUUAUAAACUAUUUUCUUACACUCUCUCAAAUAAUAUCACAUGCAUUUAUGCUAUUUAAUAAUAUCAAAUAAGUCAAUACAAACAAAUUUAUAUUGUGUGCAUAACUAAAUUAAAAACUUAAAACAUAAAUGUUUAUUAUUUAAAUAUUUAUAUAUAAGCAAUUUAUGUAACAAAAGAUAACGUUAAUAUUUUCGAAAAAAUAAAAUAAAAUUUAGUUACUUGUAACUGGGUAACGUCAAGUGCCGAAGAUUGAUUUAUUUGAGAUUCAAACCGAGUGAGCAAUGUUGGUGUUGCAUGAGACAAAACAACAAUUGUGGAGAAUGUGAGGAUUAAGAUAAGAACUUUCAUGAUUUUAUUAACCUCUUUUCUUUGCAUUAAAGAGAAGAGAUGGAGGAAUACCUAAUUGAUUUUAGAUAUUGUUGGAUUAUAUACUAUAGCAUUACAAAUGCCUGAAGCUAUAUUUAAUGACAACAUGAAAUACCAACAUUACACUAUAUAUAUAUUUUAAUAUUGUGCAAACCACCCAAUUAUUGCAUGAUUUUGUAGAGUGCUCUAAUAGAUACAUGAGAUUAUAAUAUUUCAAAACAUCUAUGACUCUAUAAAAACAUUUUUUAUAUUAAUCUUUUUGAUAAUAUGUGGCAAACUAUAGAGGUCAAAUAGUAAAUUCGAUUCUAAUGUCAUACACACUAAAUUGAUUAUAAGUUAUUAAACAUAGAGACUUAAUUAUUUGUAAGUAUUUAAAAAUUUUAACUCAUACAAAAUUAUAUAAUAUAUAGUUUUAGUCCAUACAAAAUUAUAUAAUAUAUAGUUUUAGUCCAUACAAAAUUAAUCUAUCUUUAUUUUAUUUACUCUUUUUUUUUGUUCUCACAUGUAAGAACUUGUAAAGAUCUUUUUUAGUCACUAUUAAUAUAAAAAAAAAAGUCAUAUAUUUUAGAUUAAUUGUUAAUUUUUUCAUACUACUGUUUAAUGUUAAAUAAAUAAAAAUUAGCAUUUUUCAUAUAGGUGAUUUUCACCAUUCUCCUAGGGUACAUUAGCACUUUUAUAAAUCGUGAAAGGCUAAGUUGGUGUGAGGGACUACAUGGUCCCCUUAUAUUUUUGUUAAAUGUUGCAUCCUCAAGUUAAAUGAAAUCGUGAAUGUCUCAAUAAUCCAUAUCAUUGGUUCACAUGCAAUUUAAUGUUAGAUAACAAUUUUAUAUUAAAUUAUUCUGAUUUAUUUUUUUUAAAGGAUAAAUAAUUGUAUUUUUUUUUAUUAAAAACUAAUCUAUCAUCCAUGUUUUUUUUUUAAAGGAUCAGAAUGUUAAUCUUUUCACAUUAAUGUAUUAUAUGUAAUAUUAUUUAAAAAAUUAAAAUGACAAAAAUUAUCGAAUUAAAGUCUUUUCACAUGAAUGGAUUAUAUGUAAUAGUCAUUUCACACUAUUUAAAGUCUUGACGUAUAUUAAUGUCAUUUGUUAAUUAAAAAAUCAAAAUAAUUAAAAUUAUUGAAUUUUAAAAUAUAAAAUCAAACUUUGUAAAUUAGAAAAAAAAAUGAUGAUAUUAAAAUUCUAAGUAAAUCUAAAUAUUUUUAGUAAUUACUAUGAAAAUAUUGAAAUGUUUGUUUUCUACACAUUAAUUAACGAAUAUAAUUAUCUUAAAUGUUUUAUUUUUUAUAAUAUGUAUUGAAAAUAUCAAAAUUUAAACCUAAAUUAUUCCAUGUAGUAUAUAUUUUUAAAUAAAUUAAUAUAUAUCUGCAUAUAGUCACUUAAAUGCUUAUAAAUAACAAUACCAAAUCCAAUAUUUGAACGUGUUUAUGAUAAUCUAUUGAAUUGUUUAUGUGCGUGUUUUUCACUUAACAUCUUUCUGAUUUUAUAUUUUCAAUAAAAAAUAUUACCAUUAUAUUUUUGUUGGCAACAAAUUAUUGUUAUAAUCAUAAACAUCAUAUAAAUAAUCUAAUAUAUAAAUGUAUGUAUGAAAUGUUAUACAAAUAUAAACUAUAAGAGACAAUAAAAAACAAAAACAAUUUAAAUGUUUAUGUUAAAAUAUACUUGAUGUGUGUUUCUAAUUUAAUGUUCGAAAAAAUAUGAAAGAAUGAAAUUGAUUGAGGUUGUGACACACUUUGAUAAAUAAUGUACGUCAAGACUUUAAAUAGUAUAAAUACAUUUAUUUCACUUAUUGUAAUUAUUAGUAUCAGCUUAAAUGUGUCUUUACACAUGCCAUGAAAAGUGCUUUUUUUUAGGAAAAAAGUAGUUAACAGGAAAACACUAAAUUUUAUGUCUUUAAAAAGUAACCUUAAUGGCUCGAUGGAAGAAAAAAAGGGUGUAUGGAAUGUAAUGAUUCACUAAUUCUUUUGCUUUGCUGAAAGAUCAUUGAAUAUUUGUUGAUUUGGCCUUUUCAUUAUAACUUUUUUCCAUAAUGCAUUGAGUUAUCCUAAAUUCAAAAAAUAAGACAAAUAAGUGCUCCCAACAAUUUGUUUCUAAUAUAUCCUUUGUUUUGUAACUUGCAAAUAUUUUUUCUUAAUUAUGAGUCUAAAUUUGACUUUAAUAUUGAUUAGCACUAACUAAUUUUGUUGCAGUAAUUAACUAUAUGAAAAAGUCAUACUUACAUUUGACUUUAAUGACUGUUUACUAAGGGUUAUUCCAUUGAAGGUAUGGUAAUGAGCCUUAUAUAAGGCCAUUUGGUUUCCUACAUUUGAAAAAUAGUAAUUUAAUUUUUAAAUUAAAAAAUAUUGAUCAAUUUAGCCAUUUUUUUAAAUGUUAGACUAAAAUUUUAAUAGUUUUAUGAUUUUUUUUAUGUAACAAAAAACUAUUUAAAUAUUAUUAUGUUCAGUCCAAAAAAAUAGAGUUCUUAGCCUGUUCUAUAGUUGCAACUUUGUUUGAUCUUCUACAUCAGUCAAUUCAUUUUCAUUACCAAUUGAGAUGCAAUUUAUCUCCUAUGUGUCGGGUUCGAUUGUCGCGAAAGACAAGAACUCGCUAUUUUCAUGAGGUGGAAGGGGGAGGGGAGAGAAGAUUGUGAUAAAUAGUGUCUAUAGCAGUAACAAUUGUCCUAUUACAAACCAAGAUAAUUGAAAUCGAGAUUUGAUGAAACAUGACAAAUAGAAUUCACUAAGCGAGCAAUCUUAUGGUUAAGAGAGUUCAAGGUAGUGAAUUUGCUAAAUUUUGCAAAGUUAAUAUUGCUAAGAAAAUAGUAAUCUCACUGGGCAAAAUUAAAGGCGGUUUUACGGCUGGACUAUAAUUCACCGUGAAACAUACGCAUUCGCAAAACAAAUUAUAUGUUUGCUGAGCGAAAUGUCACUUAACUAAAUCUCUCUUUGUUGAAGUGCUGAGCAAAAUGUCACUUAACUAAAUCUCUCUUUGUUGAAGUUAGAUGUAAUCAAUCAUUUAUCUUUUGUAUCUCUUUUGAUUUAUAAUUAUAUAUUUUCAAUCUACUAGCUCGAUUCAUGUCCUAUAUUAGAAAUUUGUCACCGGGUGAUGAAUAUGCUCUUUUAUUUUGAAUGCCUUAUUGGCAUAUGUAUCUUGUGUUACUUUUAUAAGAAGUUUUAGUUUUUCUUUGAAUCUUAGUCCCUUUUUAUUCUCCCAAAACAACUAGAAACAUACCUACCAAUACGCAAAGAAAAUCUCACUAUUACAAGUACCACGGUCACGAUCGAAUCACACCAAUACAAACGUACAACUUGAUAGUUCAACUUUUAUCAUUAAAUAUUUAUUAGUUACUUAGGUAGUAUAUAAAACCCUUAUUAGAAGCAACCUUAUUUGAGACUAACCUAACCUCUAUAAAUAUUAUGUUGAUUCUAAUUUUUAUGAAAUACGAUAAGCUUAUAUUUAUUAUAAAAGAAAGAAAGAGUCCAUAUAAUAUUAGUUUAUGAGUUUAUACAAUAUAAUAAAACAAACAUGAUAUUUUGGCAAGUUUGAUAUAUGUCAGCUAAAUAAAAUGUUAUGCAAAUAUAAAGUUUCUAUUAAUAGAAAUAACUGUGCAGAUUUUUUUAUAAAAAUAAAAAUAAAACUUCCAUUAUAUCACAAUUUGACAUGAUAUUUCCGUUGAGACUUUAGUGGCCAAUUAAAAAAUAAAAAGAAUGAAUUAAAAAUAAAAUAUAACGAAUCACACCACGGCUUGACAAUUAUUUAAAAGUCAUGGGUUUUUAAACACUACUUUAACAAUCACUGCUUCAAAUUAAUUUAAUUACAAAUUUUAUUUUAUUUUACGAAUUCUUUUAGUGUCUUCAUUCUUAAUUAUGUGUUGUUAACGGUCUCUCCUCAAUAAUCUACUAUUUUCGACGCCUCCCUUAUAAAUGUCAUUCAUAUUAUCUCAUCUAUAUACAAUCCCCUUUUAAUUUUCCUUUAACAAAGAUUCGUUAUUUGUUUUUGUGUUUAUCUUUCUCCGAUGUUUGAAAAAAAAAAUCAGAUUUUGUUGCUUCAAUUUCUCCAAAAAAAAGUUUUCGUGGAAUUUGGUUGUUAGAGUUGUGCGAAGGUGGUUUCUGUCUGAUAUGAAUAUCAAACAUAAAUUUUAUGUGAUGGAAAUGAUAUUGAUCGAUAACAAGGUUUAAUUCUUUCUUUUAUAAAUUCAAAGUUUUAAGUUAUACAAACUUAUUUGUUAUGUUAUUAAUUUAACAAAUUUGUGUUUCAUAUUUUUUAAGGUGAUAAAAUUAAAGCAACGGUGCGAAAAACUCUUAUAUCUCGAUUUGAGACUAAUACUCGUGAGGGAGCUAUGGUACAAUUGUCCGAGAAUUAGAGACCAAUUUGGUCACAGCUUCUCUGUACUCAUUCAUUUCAUUCCCAGAAAUUCAAAAUGUUGACAUGAAUUACUUGAUUUGGUAAAUUUAUUUUAAUUUGUCAUUGUUAUUUUAUUUUAGUUAUUCACAGUUUAGUCAUUAUUUUUUUAAUAGAUGUCAUGGAGGUUUUAGUUGGAGUGUGACAAUACAUAGUUUAUGAAAUGAAUGGUGUCAAUACAAAAUUUAAAGUUAUUGAGUUAAAGUCAGAUGAGUGAGCCUUUUUACAUUAUAUAAAUUUUUUUAGUAUUUAAUAACUUUCUCUAUUAUUUAUUAACUAAUUUUAUUUGCUAAAAGUGAAGACGUUUAAUGAUAAAAACCAACUACAAAAUGCAAUGAAUUGAACUAAGCUUUUAUUCAAUCCUGAAAUUCCUGAGUCAAUUUUUUUCAAACGCAAGUAAGGUUAAAAGAAAACUAGAAGUAGUACCAACUAACUUAUUCAAUUUUUUUAUUUAUUGAAAUACUAACUUUAUACUACCUCAUCAUCAGACACUCGAAUAACUUUGGUUCGCCAAUUCAACCAUUGACUCAUAAGAAGGAUACUUCUCAUUUGAGUUAAGAAGAAGAAUUUUUAAGUCUUUUCCAACGCAUGACUUUAGAGGAACUUAAGGAUUGUCAAAAUGAAAUUUUUACAGUUUCAAUGUCAUAUCUAUUAUAGUUCAUUUAGUUUUGUUAAUCAUGUUUGUUAUUUAUAAUUUUUACUUCUUUUGUAGGAUAUGGUUUGUGUUGUCUUUGAUACAGUUAAACAUAUUCUUGUUGAAUGUCAUUGGUAGUAUGGAGCAUGUGUAUGCAACAAAGGAGUUGUUAUUGAAUCUAAAAGGUUCUUUUUGUCUAAAAUGUAAGAAAUAUGUAUGGACAAUUGUGCCACGGUGCGUUUAACAAAUAAAAUUCAUUUAUGUUAAUUUAUCAAUUCCUUAGACUAUUAUUGAUGUUAAUAAAUUUCAUUAUCUAAUUUUGGUAAAAGGUAUCGUAUCAAGGUUAGAGUUGUCGAUGAUACUGAUUAUGAUACCUUUGUCAUAUUUGAUCAUGACGAAAUUUCGUUGACAAACAAAUCAUGUCUAAAUUUGCUUCAUGAAAAGGAUCAAAUCAGUAUAUUUCCUAAAUUUUAUUUUAUCUUCAAUCUUUAUUUAUUAUUGAUGUGGUCUGGUUAUGUUUAUUUCGAUGAUCUAGAUUAAUAUUUUUAACAACAAUGUGAAUAUUAGGAUCCACAGUCUGACAGCGUGCCAAAAGAAAUUGGAGAUUCGGUUGAAAAACAGUUUCUAUUUAAGAUAGAGGCAAAAAAUGAUGUGAACUCAAAUUUUGAAAAUCAUUUCGAGUCAAAAAUAUUUGUGGUGACUUGAAUAUUAUAAAAAAUUUCAGAUAUGUUGCUCUUGAAAAGGUUUCUAUUCUUUUAACUUUUGUAAAUUAUUUUACUUAUCUAAAUCAAUAUGUAUUACUUUCUAAUUUUUGUAAUUCGUGACUAAGGUUGAUGUUGGUCUUGAUAACGACGUAGAAGGUAGUGUAACGAAUGAUUUGAUGAAUAAGUUUGAAGAAGAAGCUACUGAUGAGAAAUAUCAAGUCCCAAACCCUGUAUGUGUACUCGUACUAGUUGAACAUGAUUCUGAUGAUUGUACCUCUCUUAAAAGGGGGUUCAUGAAAGUCGCUGACGACAAUGAUGGAGUCAAUUCAAAAAAUGUGAAAAAUAUCAAAAUUGAGAAGGAGCGAGAAUAAACAUAAUACUUUAUUUUAUUUUAUUUUGAAUUAAGCUAUGGUAGCCUUUGUUUUGGCGGAAAUUUGUUAGUUUUGCGAUGUUAGAUUCAUACAUUAAAUUUCUAUCAAUUUUCAUUCAUGAACGUUUGAUGUUAUGUUUGCAUAAAAUUUAUUUAGGAAUUAAAAUAAAAAGUGUCUUUAUUUUGUUAUACAUUUUUUAUUGUUUAUUUUUCUAAAUUUUGCCUUAAAAAUUGUACGUAUUUGAUAUCUCUACGCGUAUAUUCCAAUAUUUAUUUGUAAGGUUUUGUAAUACUAACUCCAAUUCUAAAUUCUCUACUAAAUAAUUGAUGCCACAAAUUGAGCUUUUACCCAUGAAGGCAAACAACUCAGCUUUUAAGUAGAAAAAUAUCCAAUUCAUCCAAACAAAAAAAAAAUCAUAAUAUAGAAUUUAUUCUGUAAUUAAAAAAAAUACAGUUCAUUACCUCACUAACAGUUUUUUUAAUAAUGAUUUUUCAAAUGUCAACAGAUCCAUUACAUCACGAUUUGACAGUUUGUAAGCUCUAGCAACUACUACUUCAAAUUAUUGACUAAUAUUACAUAAAUUUAAUUAAAAAAAUUAUUUUAUUUCACAAAUUAUUUUUAUAUUUAUUUUUAUAAGCAAUUUUUGAUAAUAAAAUUCAAACUAUAUCUUUAAUAUCAAUGUCAAUAAAAUUAUAUUAUUAAUUUAAAUUAUUAUAUUAUAUAAAUUAAUAUAACAAUAUAUUUUGAAAAUAGUAAUUUAUAUAUUUGCGACGCAGGAUAACACACUAAUUUAAUUAACCCUAAUCUUUAGGACAAUAGUCGAGGCCAUAUCCAUAACCAUCAUCAGGAAUAAUAAUAUCCUUAGGUUUGAAGUCAAAUCUGAUAGGAGGGUUCUUAUAGUCCUCUAUGGUCACAUACUCUGCUAUCCAACUAUCAUCAUCAAACUUUGGUACCGAACUAUGGGGCCCACUUCUAGAUAUCAACACUUUGCAGAUUUUGUCGCGACAAGGUCCCUCUAAGCCCAAUUCAACUGUCACGCAAGCCUCUAACCUCUUAUUCUGAGGACCACCCAGAUUCUCAACAUCAAUC
rnacentral:lncRNA from 1 species